GACGCGGGUGGCGCUGUGGGUUAAACCACAGAGCCUAGGACUUGCCAAUCAGAAGGUUGGCAGUUCGAAUCCCCGCAACGGGGUGAGCUCCCGUUGCUCGGUCCCUGCUCCUGCCAACCUAGCAGUUCGAAAGCACGUCAAAGUGCAAGUAGAUAAAUAGGUACCGCUCCAGCGGGAAGGUAAACGGCGUUUCCGUGCGCUGCUCUGGUUCUCCAGAAGCGGCUUAGUCAUGCUGGCCACAUGACCCGGAAGCUGUACGCCAGCUCCCUCGGCCAGUAAAGCGAGAUGAGCGCCGCAACCCCAGAGUCGGCCACGACUGGACCUAAUGGUCAGGGGUCCCUUUACCCUUAACCUUUUUAAGGAGUCUCAAAGCGGCUAACAUUCUCCUUUCCCUUCCUCCCCCACAACAAACACUCUGUGAGGUGAGUGGGGCUGAGAGACUUCAGAGAAGUGUGACUAGCCCAAGAUCACCCAGCAGCUGCAUGUGGAGGAGCGGAGACACGAACCCGGUUCACCAGAUUACAAGACUACCGCUCUUAACCACUACACCACACUGGCUCUCUCACACUGGAAGGGUGUACAACAGUAAAUGUAAGAAAGAGCUCUGCUGGAUCAGGCCAGUGGCCUAUCGAGUCCAGCAUCCUGUUUGCACAGUGGCCAACCAGGUGUCUAUAGGAAGCCUACAAACAGGACACGAAUCCCUGCAUUGUAGCCUUAAGAGAAAGGGAGGAAAGCUUCUCCCUACGAACUUACUACAUAUCAUUUUAUACGCCUCUACCGGAAAUCCUCUUACCUUUUCUCCAAAAGGUAACAAGGUCACCUAGCCAACCAUUGGUCGUCCUGAGCAUCAGUGCACAAGCGUCCAAAAGUCAACAGUGGCAGGGGGGGAGAUGUAAAAAAACCAGAAGCCUUUUUGUUAGGUAUUUUAGGUCAAGACAUACCAAAGGAAAUGAGGAUUUUAUUUAUGUAUGCCAAUACAGAAGCAAGACUGGAGAAAUACCAACUAAAGAACAAUGGCAAGCGAAGUUGAUGAACUAUGCAGAACUGGCAAAAAUGACAGAUAGACAAGGGGGGAAAGACAACAGAGACUUUGAAAAAGAUUGGGAACCAUUCAUAUUAUAUUUGCAGAAACAAAGAAUGUCAAUAGACUUGAUGGCAGGAUUUAAAUAAACAUUCACAUUAUUAGCAUUAGAAAAUGUUUAGAAGAUAGUGAAAUAUGAUGGUGUAUUUGCUGUUAUUUUUAUGUCUUUAGGCUUGAAGUUAUGUUAUUAAUAACUUUUUCUGUUAAGAAAUAGCAAAGCGGGUGAAAAUAGAAACAAACCAGAAGCGGAAGUUGGGGGACGCCUUGGAGGGGAGGAGGAGUAUAUAGUAAAUGUUAAGAAUUUGAGAUGUAUGUAAUGAAUGAAAAAUAAAAAUGAAUAAAAAUUACAAAAAAAACACAAAACCAGUGGCAGGUAGUCCAUCUGAAGCAAGGGAAAGCACAAGAUUUGGGGUAACGGUUUGGAAGCAAUGCAAGAGGCAUGACAACCCCAGAGAGGAGAACUGCCGCUGCAAUGAAUAAGUAGACGGCGUACACAGCAUGAUUUGUCACUGGUUCAUGAGCCUGAAUGCAAUGUUUGGUGGUAGCGCAGCCACAAUCCAUCCACCCAGCCUCGGAGGAAGACCGGCUAUGAUCUCUAAUGUGGCGCACUUUAUCACUGCAGUGGUGUCAGUUUAUCAUUCUAAUAUCCGCUCCUUCCUUCCUUCUCUCCCUCCCUACACCUCCUUUUCUUCCUAACCUCUGGUAUGCAGUCAGCAUAAGAAUCCAGCAAUGAUGCAUGUCUUGGGAUAAGCAGCUAGGGAUGGGCAGAUCUGUCCAUUUUGCUUUAUCUCAGUUUGCCAUUUUUCCAUUCUUAAAUUCAGUUCUCCCCAUUUCCACAUCAGUUUCCUGUUGUUGUUGUUGUUGUUGUUGUUUAAAAAAACUCAUAAAAAUUCACCAGCAUUUUAGUGCAGGUUUCACUUGAUAUAUAAUCAUUUUUGCCUGAAACAUUUUUGCAAAGCAGUUUCCACUUAUGUAAUGCAUUUUAAUGUUUGUUUCACCAAUAUAUAUACUUUUCAAGCCACACUUCACCCUACCUUAUAUGCAUUUUUGUACACAUUGCUCAGCUGGAGAAACGCACUGCAAAAUUCAAAGAACUGCAAAUUUCAAAGAAUGCUUGUGUUUCAGUUCAUGUACUGUUUUGCAAAGUGUGAAUUGUGUUUAUUCAUCUUUAGAAGCAAACCGAAUCAGAUUCUUACCCCCACCUUGAUCAACAGCUCAGCUCAGACAUCAUAAUGCACUCCUUCACACAACACAUCCUUCUGCAAGCAAGCAGUGGUUCUCAGAAUCUACCUUUCGGGAAGGUGCAAAAUGAGACUCGAUCCCCCAAGACUGCUGCUUAUGCACAAUAUUGAGAGAGAAAGAGAGAGAGAGAAAGAGAGAGAGAGAGCAGCAACAUGUAUAUCUUAAGGAGAAUGUAAGCAGAGUGGUUAAUAUGCAUAGCAACCAGCCAUUGUUCACAUUCACCAGGGCUCAAGGAGAAUGUGAACAUCAUCUGUUCAUGAAGAAGAAUUUUUUCACAUUUCCCAGGCAAUGAAUACAAUCUCCAUCAGGUCUUGGGUGACAAGAUUGCUAUAUAUUUUAUAUCAUAAACCAGGCAUACAAUACUUCUUAAGCAUUUGGGGUAGUCCACCCCCCAUUCUAUUUUUAUUAGCCUGGCUUCAUUGACUUCUUUUUUUUCUAAAGCAAUCACUCCCUCCAGGAAUAUGCCGUUGCAAAAAACGGGGAGAGGAACACCUCCUGCGUUUCCUCAGGUAUGGCUUCUUCCCGCCACUCUCACCCGUUUUGUGGCAGAGCUCCUUUUUAAUAUACCAGAAUGCAAAAACACCUCCACCUCUAUUGGUGAUGGAACCUUAAUGAUCUACAGCUCUCCCAAGUAAUGAGUAAAAAUGCAUCUCAUCAGUAUCAACGGGCAAAAUAUGGACUAUGACUGUUUCGGCUCCCUGAUUCAUAAUGAAUGAAUUAUACACCCACACUCCUCAAGGGCAACAGACAAUAAUAUUGUGUUGACUGUAUUUUAAAACAAAAUAUGUAGGUUAUGUCCAAAAAAAAAAGUGCUCUUCUAAGUGCAGUUUCACCUUGGCUCCUAGGUUUGAUUGCUUUUCCUGUUUAUGUAACACACACACACACCACCGCCUCAUUCCCUGUCUCCUAACAUAUGUUGAGAAAUGUUAAGACAAUGCUUGGGAAGGGGAAAUGUGACCUGCAACAAAAUGCGACAAUGCGGAGUGUUCCUUUAGAACAGUGGUUCUCAACCUGUGGGUCCCCAGAUGUUGUUGGACUACAACUCCCAUCAUCCCUGACCACUGGUCAUGCUGGCUAGAAAUGAUGGGAGUUGUAGUCCAACAACAUCUGGGGACCCACAGGUUGAGAACCACUGCUCUAGAAGGAGCCAGACACACCCUUUUCCAGGAAGCUCCAUUCUGUUCUAACAGUUUCCCAUCCCUCUGCCUCCCCAGUCCAUCCACUUUUCAAGGGCAUUCAGCAAGCUCAUUCUUCACUGGGUGGUUUUGACUAUCUCCUUUACUUGUCCCCCCUUCAAAAGAAACGUUUUUGUACUUCUGCAAACCUUGAGGUUUUCUGAAGCUUCCUCAUGCCUUCAUCUGGUGCAUGGAUGGUGCUGUUUUGACUAUAAGACGAUUCACACAUGCAGAAUCUGUUUCUUCCUUGGAUAUCUACAGCUGGACUGGGGAGCUGGUGGCUCUUCAGAUGUUGUUGUACUCCGAUGCCCAGUCAGCAUGGAUCAGUAGUUAGUGGGUGAUUUGUAAUCUAGUAACAUCUGGACCACCUGAUGCUACAUUAAAAAAAAAGAAUCUGAAAAGCUCAGUGCUAAAAAUGUAAAGACCAACAACAAACCAACAUAUUGUUUAGCUGGAGAAUUGCACUGCAAUAUUCAGAGAAAUGCGCAUUUCUAAGGGUAGCUGCAUUUUGAUGGGCAAAUUGGGUGAUCAAAAUGCAAACGAAAUCAAAUGUCUCCUCCGUCCCUUGGAAGGGAUUCUGCCAUGUGUCUUCCCCAGGUUGUUGGGGGUUUGUUCUUUUUAAUGAUUCCUCCCCUUCCUCAUAUCAGGUUCUGCCAGAAUGUCCAGCUGAAGUUCAGGAGGCAAAGGCCUCCUUGGAAGGGCGGUUAACAUGGAAUAAUGAAAAAGUGACUCAGAGUAAAUAUUUGAACUAUUGGAAAAGCAAUUGUAAUAAGCAAAUUACGCUAGUAGGACUGCAAGAAGUUUUGUAAGGAGGAUUAUGUGAAAUAUUGCAAGGAAGACUAUGAAGAGAAUUAUUAGUUAAGGGCAAUUAAAAGUAAUAGAGAAAUUAAGAAAUGCAGGUUAAGUGAUAAAGAAUGGAAAAUCUUCAGAGGUAGUUGAUGGAAGUCUAAAAUACUGUAUAAGAUAAGAAUGUAUGUUAAAUGAUUGUUGGAAAUGAUAUGUUAAAAAAAUGUAUAAAAAGAAAAGAAGAAGUGAAUCUUAAACCAUGUGCUUGGUGGAAACAAAACAGAGGGGGGAGGCUGUGGGACCCAGUACUGAGAGACAACAAACUGCAUCCCAUAACCACUGCCAGGAAAGAAGAGACAAUGUUCGCAUUGUUCCUGUUCAAAAGUUGUUUAUUGUUUAUGUGCGUACACACACACACACACCAUGGAACUCAAGUAGGCACCAACUUGGACGACUAUAAAAACGAUUAGACUAAUUCAUGAAGCAGCUACUAGCCCUGAUGCACACAUUCUUCCUCCACUGUUGGAGGCCGUAUGCUUCUGAAUCCCAGUGUUGUGGAAACUUCCACUAUCCCAGGGAACACACAGUAAGAGCACUGAUGUGACAAGAAAGGAAGUUCCAACUAAGCCUUAGGUUCCAACUUUCUGAUAGGAAGAUUGGUCCAACGGUGGAACGGACUGCCUUGGAAGGUAGCGGGCUCUCCUUCAUUGGAGGUUUCUAAACAGUGGUUGGACGGCCAUCUGCCAGUGAUUCUUUAGCUGUGAUUCCUGCUUUGUAGGGGGUUGGAUGAGUUAACCCUUUGGGUUGCUUCCAACUCUACAAUUCUACGAUUCUAUGACUUUUGGCAAAGAGCACUGGCUGUUGCAGAGUCCACCUGGGUAGAAUCCAAAGGGAACUUUGUAAUGGUUAUAUUUUAUUUUACAAUCGAACACAUGCUCAGUCUGUUUAUCACAUACACAGCAAAAAGAUUGGCAGGGAAUGGGGCAUGGUUGCGCAACUUGCUUAUCAGCAUCAGAACAUUCCAACAGACCAUGUUCUGCUCCUCCUGAUAUCCAAGGCUAUAUUUUUCCACGACACCAGUUUGCUGCAGGAGAGGAGAGCACUCUUGUGCUCAUGUAUGGCUUAUGAACUUCCCAUAGGCAUCUAGUUGGCCACUGUGAGAACGGGAUGCUGGACUAGAUGGCCCACUGGCCUGAUCCAGCACAGCUCUUCUUAUGUUCUCAAAGGGCUGGCCUGAUACUUUUUCUUGCCCUCCUUUUCAGGUGCCUCGUGUACCUGAUGCCAUUGUGAUGUCAGGUGAUUGACCGACGGCCCUGCCCAUCUGUCAAAAUUGACUCUGAUAAGAAUCUGGCCCAUGGAGCCCCCAAAGAUUCUCCACCCAUGUUCUAUAAGCAAAGCAUAUGCUCUACCACUGAAAUAUGGUCCUGCCUCUCAGGAGUAGAACUUUCAUAUCCCUGUUUCAUCCCCUAGAAUUCAUAAGCCACUACAAUGUCUUCCAGUCCAUUUUUACCCUUACUGGCCUUCCCAAAACAUCUGCUUCUUUGUUAUGUUCAGGAGCACUUAGUGAGCUAUUUUCCUUAGUGAGCCAGUGUGGUGUAGCGGUUAAGAGCGGUAGACUCGUAAUCUGGUGAACUGGGUUCGCGUCUCCGCUCCUCCACACGCAGCUCCUGGGUGACCUUGGGCUAGUCACACUUCUUUGAAGUCUCCCAGCGCCACUCACCUCACAUAGUGUUUGUUGUGGGGGAGGAAGGGAAAGGAGAAUGUUAGCUGCUUUGAGACUCCUUCGGGUAGUGAUAAAGCGGGAUAUCACAUCCAAAUUCUUCUUCUUCUCUUCUUACUGGGUAGGGUGGGAUGGAGUGGAGGGAAGUUCCUAUUCAGGCAUAUCUCACUCAGGUAAGAAAGUUCUGCUAGCUCCUCCUGUGAGAGAGGGAAGUUGUCCAUAGCUUGGUGUUGAGUUUCUAAUAAUGGUAAGAGAAGAAAGGGAAUGGAAGGAGGACUUGGAGCCCAAAGACAGAUCAGUGUGCUUCUCCAAGACUCUCUUAUGACAGAACGAGGCAGAGUAGGUUUGAAGCCACCCACAUACAAUGCAUAUUUCAUUUGUCUUGUAAAAAAAAAAAUGAAGAAGGGAGGGGAAAAACACCCUAAGGUAUAUAAAAGGAGCCAGUGAAAGAAGCCCCUAUGGCAUUUCCAGGGUUGUGUAAAAUAUGAUUCAGAGCUAUAAUUAAGUAUAACAAAGAGAUGUACUAUCUGCAGCUAAGGGAAGUUACAUAAUGAGAGACACCGGGGCCUGUUUUAUUUGUGGCCUUUUCCAUUUAUAACAUGAAAAAUACAUGACAUGACAUCUGAAGUCCAAAAGUCAUGGACAAUGCUGCCAUCAAGCUAGACUCAACAUCCUGAGCUUUCAUUUAUUCAGGGAAAACAGUACAAGGCAGACAUUUUGAAUUAUAUCAGGCCUGCUCCGCAUAUUACAUUUUGUAGAAGUACACCCAAAGGCCAAACUACACAAUUACAUGAAGUUGUGUAUUUUCUUCCUGUGGCUUUAAAGAAAACAAAACUGAAAAGAAGCUUUGUAGGCUUCCUGCUGUUGCUCCCACCCUGAAACAUGGAAGCAGAAGCUCAUCCUUGCAAGUAAGAAAUAUAUCUUUAUUCAGGCAAGUAAUGGUACAGACUCAGCAACAGACACAGGACUCAGAGGGCCAUGGUUCAGGAGCUCAUCAGGAGGGCAAGAUGUUCAGAACUGGACCAAAGCAAUGAAGGUGUCCCAACAAGUUCCCACACCCAAGCCACCAAGCUUUUUAAAGACAAGGUAUGGAGCUCUUACUCACCUAACUUACUUGUCUUGUGGAAAUAUCAGGAUUGCAAAUGUGCACUCUAUUGAGGUUCAUGGGUCAUGUGUGUAGACAGUCACCUAACAUACAAAGAUAAAAAAAUUACGUUUGUUGCUCCACCCACCUCUGCCUCUGGACCUGCUUGCCACUUGCAUGUGAUCCUGAGAGGGUUGCCCAGAAGACUGAGAAAGCUUUCCCACCCUUGGCUUCAUAAUUUUAACAUUUACCAUUAUCACUUAUGAUUCACUAUUCACCAUUUCUCCUGGUUGCUGGUAGAUCGCUACAAGAACAUAUAGAGCAUUUAAAACUCUUUAUUUUUGUCAUCUUCAGUGAUGUCUGGCUUGAACGUUUUGUUUAUCUGAGGAGAGAAAGUUAAGACACUCUUUAAGCUCAUCAUCAUAUUCUAGCCCCACCCCAGAAAAAAAUGUGCUACCUGACCUUCAUGGCAAACCCACUUCUAUCUACAAAACCCUGAUGAGAUAGGUUCACUCACAGCGCAGCCACGUAGAAUGGAAAAUCAUGUUCCCAUUUUAUAGAAGGGGAAACUGAGGUUUUGCUCACCUAAUAUAAUUCCAUGCCUGGGCCAGAGAUUCUAAUUCAGUAGAACAGACUGAAUUCUUAAUACACCACAGUUAGUCCCUUCUCCAGCAGUUUGUACAGCCUGUUCCCUUUCCCAUGUUACAAUUUUCCAUUUAGGACAAACAACUUCCAUGAGAGCAAGUGAUGUCCAGAGAGUCUAUUGUGUUGCUUGCUCAGUAUUCAUUCAGGCACCGAGCAAAUAUUUUUAAAAAAAUAAAAAUAAAAAUCCAAAGCUUUGAAAUCGAUUUUGUGGUUUCUCUGCACACACACAUCCCGGAAAGCAUGAAGCAUUACUGCAAUUCAAGGACACAGUUCAGCCAGGCAAAAGCUCUUGAGGAGGACACAAAGCAGGACUUGUGAUUGGUUGAGAGAGGGGGUGUGGCCUAGGGGCCAGUUAUAGAAGCCUGGCAGGCUAUCGAAAGGUAAACUUUUGAUCAAGGGGAGAUUCUGAGCGUGCUAAAGUAUUAUUAUUAUUAUUAUUCUUUCCAUUGCAAGUUUAUUUUUCCCACAGCACCAUCUCCAACUUUGUCCACCGAAAAGAGCAGCCACGUUUUUCACACUGCAGUCAGCUCCUUCUCUCCAAGAGAAGUGUUAGCUGGCCAGUUUGUGACAACGAAAAGAACCACCUGCUGUUCGAGGAACGCCUGCCAUUUGAGUGGGAUCCAGAUGCAAACAUUUCAAGAGGCCUGCUUAAUCAUGCACUUUCCAUGCAGGUGGUGAAAUAUUGAUCUGAGGCCGCUUCGUAGCAUCAAGGAAGAGACGUUUUCACGGAGCUCUCUGCUGAUCUGUUACUGUUGUACAUGUCUAUCAGAAAACACCCUGUGAUUCUUCGAGCGGCACAUUGGGGAAGCAGAAAUAUAGAUGGUAGGUGUGCGACGUGCUUUCCUGCAGUUGUCAUAAACACAACUUUUGUCAAGGGGAAAGGAAAUGAGAAACCAUGCAGGGAGAUUUUUAUAUCUAUAAAAGAUAUCCCUAUUGCUAAAACCAAGACUCAAUUAUUCCAACAGCCGUGUCCCAUGAACUGGCAUGAGAAGCCAUCAACAGAGCUCCCUAGCUGCCUUCAGGAAGUCCUCAAAUCCCUCUGUGCCUUCUUAAUUACAACCAGAUCUGAGCUUGUUUCAGUGUUGCCCUUGUAGAAUACAGGUAGGAAGGAAGAGGGGGACAAAAUGAGCUGGCUCUGCCUGUCGUUCAUUAUGGCGCCACCUGCUGUUUGGCCUCCAUGCCUUCUACCCUACCAGUCCCUGUGGGUACCAGACACCACUGCUCCAGACAACCCCCUCCCAUUAAAAAUAACCCAAUAAGCACAGCAACUUGAACUGUGGAGGGUUGCCCAUUUGGGUAUUUGGGACGGUGUCCAACCAACCUCAGCCAACCCCCACCUGUCUGCCUUCCUUACAACCAGCUCAGGGGAUUGCACUGUCAGUCAAUCUCCAUCUCACUGUUGCCCUUGCAGAUCUUAGCAGCAAGGCAGAAGGAUGGGGGUAAAACUAGGAGGAGCUGGCUCCACCUGUCAUGGGCUCUGGCGCCACCUACUGUUGGGCUCCCCACCCUACCAACACCAAUGUGCACCAGCCACCCCUGGCCGCCAUAGCAGAAACAACAGUAGGUGCAUUAAAACUGCGUCUGAUGCUAAUUAAAAUCUGCAAAUGAACAAAGGGUGCUGCCUCCUACAUGUAAGGUUAUUUGCCCAUUGAGCUCAGGGGGUUUGUUCCUACUCUGAUCAGGGGCAGCUCUUCCAACUCAUGCAGACAUCUUUCCCAGUGCCAGACACCUGAUCCUUAACAAACUGAUGAGAUUGGUCUCAACUAGGGCCAGGGCCUUUUCAGUACUGGCCCUGACUUGGUGAAACGCUCUGUCAUAACAGGACUUCCGGGGUGGCGCCAUCGGUAAUGGCGGACUCCCUCUGAUCCGGAGGGACUAGCUCCGCGGAAAACGGGUCUUCCCGCUACGGCGGGAUGAAGACCCGCCGAAAUCACAGGCGGAUGAAGCCUGUGACCAUGGGACUCGGCGGGCACCUUUCGCGCGCCCCCCAACUCGUAAAGGAACCCAGUUACGGGCUCCGGAGCGAAGAGGGGCAAGUGGCGCGGUGCUGAGAGUCAACUGCUUCUUCCGUGGAGCGAAGCCGCACAGCUGUUGCCGGAGAGUGCUGCCUUUUUCCUGGGACACUUUGGCUUCUAAAACAAUUACCCGUGAGUAGCUUAAUUUCAGACAAUUGGACUUUAAAUAAUGAUCUGCGAGUAGAAAGGAAAAUUGGACUAAGAAAUUCUUCUCAAUUUGGCACUGAAACGGGAAGGUCUAAACAGGAAGUCAGCCUUCCGUUUCUUGUAGAUAGAUUAAAGCAAAGACAUGGCAAACUAGAGUUCAGAAAAUCAUUUGUAAAGGAUUAACUUUCAUCAUUUAAAAUUGUUGAACCCCCUUCGGAAGCAGGAGAAGAGGGGGGAUUUUUUCUGGACUGUUUAAACCUGCAGAAGAGAGCGUAAAGAAAAGUAAUUUUCCACCGUCUUGAACCUGGGAGCCAGGUGUCAGGACUGACGUUCUUUGGGAAGCUCAUUGACCAUAGACAAACGUCUUUGACAGAUAGUUAAAAGAAGAGAAACAUAGUGAUUCCAUUGUUCUCCUUCGCAUUUUAAAGGAACAAAUAUUGACAAAAUAUCUGAAAAGGAAACUUUGUUGUUAAAUCUGCCUUUAAAAGAAAAGAACAAAUAGAAGUUCUUCCCCUAGAGGGAGCCUGUGAAACUGUUACUAAAUCUGAAUCGGAGAGCUCUGCAGCUGCAACAGAUUACGAUCAUGGGAACAGACUUCUGACCUUGCAGAACAAUGUAUCCAGAAGCUCUGGUGCGUGCUUUCUGCAAAACAAGUGCCCUAUUGGAACAGCUACAUGAGAAGACGGACUUGAUGACUGUUGCGAUCAGAAAUUUUGGACAGGUAGUGGGUAACUAUAUAGAGCCCACCCAGGAAUCAAAACAGGAGUGUGCUCUGACAGAUCAGAUGAGGGAAGAGGAUGUUGCUGAACCUCGGGUGCCAGAGAUGGAGGGAGUUGUGGCCCAGCAGGAACAUGAGUUGUUGGAUCUGAUAAAUGAACUUGGAAAAAGCCAGAUUUGGAGAGAUAGAGUUUUGUUUGGUUUGGAAAUGGGGGGUUGGAUAGACCCCCCUAUGCAGGGAUGUUUUGACUUUCCAAGUCUGGCAAUGGGCCGUGAGAUGUUUGGGGUUGUGGGGGCUCUUAAUUCUGGAGGGGCUUUGAAACAUGUUUUUAAAUACCACAUGGAGUUUAGUGUGGACUAUGGAAAAGGGGCUGAUUUGUCAAGAAGGGUCAAAAACACUGUCAAGCUGGAGUUCCCACGAGUGAAAGGAGCAGGAGACAAAGUAAAGUACAGGUAUAAAUAUGAAGAAGAGCCGCGGAAGGGACAUGGAAGAGACUUAAGGGCCUCGGACAUAAGAUUACCAGGUUAAUGCGCCAGAUUGAUGGGAUAGAAAGGACUGACAAAACCCGGGACCAGGAGGAAGAGACGCUGGAUGAAGAUUGGAAGAAAAUUUGGAAAAAAAAAUUAUUAGGCUUGCUUUAUAAAAUUGAUGAAUGUUAGAAAAAUGUUGGAACGAAAUUAUUUGGCUUUAGCAAAAAUGUUAAAAGAAUUAUGUAAGAAUAUGUUAUGGUUAUGAGAAAUUGGUAUAAAUAAGAUGUAAGUUUUAAGUUUUAGGGUUUUUUAUAGUAAGAUAAGGUUAAAAUAGACUAAGGUAAUGUUAUGACAGAAUAUUAUGAAAAAUGGAAAGGAUUUGCUGUGAUAAUUAACAACUAGGAUACAAAAAAAGGGAGGAGUGAGGAGGUCAAUGAAAGAAGGCAAUGACAGUUAAGGAUUUGAGAAUAUUGGAUCUGUUUUUAAAUUUUUGUGGUUUAUUUUUGUUUUUGGAUUGUGUCCUGUUACGUGUUUUGUUGUUAUUUUUUGAUUUUGAUUUUUAUCAAUUUGUAUUGUUUGAUUGUGGUUUUUUUUCUUUUGUUUUUUCUCUUUCUUUUUCUUUUUUGUUUUUUCUGUAAUUUUAAAAUUCUUAAUAAAUAUCAUUUAAAAAUAAUAAUAAUAAUAAUAAAAAAGAAACGCUCUGUCACAAGAGACUAGGGCCCUGCAGGACUCGACAUCUUUCCGCAGGGCCUGCAAGACAGAGCUGUUCCGCCUGGCCUUUGGUUUGGACUCAGUCUGACCCUUAUGUUUCCCUCCCCUUAUGGUUUUGAUCUAUGGGCUACUUUUAAAAUGAGGCUGCAUUUUAAAUUGCAUUUUAACCUGUAUUUUAAAUUGGUCCCCCCCCAUUAUGUUUUUACUGUAAUUUUACUGGUGUUGGCUGCCCUGAGCCCAUCUCUGGCCGGGGAGGGCGGGGUAUAAAUAAAAAUUAUUAUUAUUAUUAUUAUUAUUAUUAUUAUUAUUAUUAUUAUCCUGUGACCUUCUGAAUGCCAAGAAUGUGCUCUACUAGGGAGCCACAGUCCUUCUUUGAACAAGUUAACCUCCUUCCAAUGGGUAUUUUCCAUAGUGGCUGAUAUUUACUGGGCAGAAUGGUGCAAACACCCGCAAGGUGCCUUUAAUGCAAGGGUGAGCUUCACCCACAGAAAAGGACUCUGUGAGCAUCCGACCAGCAGCACAGUUUUUAGUUUGACACUAUUGUUUUCUGCACAACAUUCUUUCCUGCAGCUUCCUGUUCUUGGGCAGCUUGUUCUUGGAAAUCGGGUGGCUUGGUGAGUUUCAGACCCCUUUGGAAAUGGAGGCUCCUGCACUAUCCCAGCCCUUGAUGCAAUACAUUUAAAUGGCAUCUGUCAGUUUUGUCAAUAGGUAAGCGUGCCCCACUUUGCAAAGAGCAAGUAAACCACCUUUAUAAGAAGACCUGAUUCCCCCCCCACACUCCCAAUUUUGUUUUCUUAUUCCCUCCCCCAUCUGCUCAAAUGCAAAUGUAGCUACAUCAAGGUCCUGUGGGUGUCCUUUAAUAAUAAUAAUAAUAAUAAUAAUAAUAAUAAUAAUAAUAAUAAAUUUAUUUAUAUCCCACCCUCCCCAGCCGAAGCCAGGCUCAGAGCGGCUAACAACAGUAAAAAUAACACAGUUUACAUAAAAUCACAAUCAAUUAAUUGACAUACAUUCUAAAAUCAAUUCAUUCUAAAAUCAAUUCAGAAUCAAAUUAAUGGCAACCAUUGCGCUAGAGUGCUAUGAGGAAUACAGAAGGAGGGGGUCAGACUGUGCCUUGGCCAAAGGCCUGGUGGAACAGCUCCGUCUUGCAGGCCUGGCGGAAAGAUGUCAAGUCCUUUAGAUUUUUCCCUAGCACCCACCCAAUCUCUGAGCCUCACUCCUAACUACCCACUUAGUCACUUCCCACUUGGCAAGGUUGUCUACCUUUUUCUCCUUUGAAAAACUCAUAGAAGUGAAGGACGAAGUUGGAAAAGCAACACUCUUUUCCCCAUUUCUGCAUGCUUUUCAGGGUUCAGAUCUGGCUCCCACGUUUUUCCAGGUCUUCUCGAAAAGUGAAAUGCAGGUGCCUAUUUUUUCUCCCUUUCUUUCGGAGUGGGUUGUGGGUGGGUGUGGAUCUUGGGCAAGAAGUGACAGCGGCACUCAUUCGAAACUCCAGAAAUACCGUAUUUUUCCGUGUGUAAGACUAGGGGGUUUUUUUACCAAAAAAUUAGGUUUGAAAUUGGGGCUCGUCUUAUACACGGGUAGUGCUGAGGGAUGUUUUCUUAAUUUGGAGUCCCCAAAAGUAGAGGGCGUCUUAUACAUGGGGGCGUCUUAUACACGGAAAAAUAUGGUAGUUAAAAAAGAAAAAUUCAUUCAUUAUUUAAGAUGAGAAAGGGCUGGAUCUCAGUAGUAAAGCAUCUGUCUUGUAUGCCAGAAGACCCAGGUUUAGUCCCUGGCAUCUCUAGGUAGGGCUGGGGGAUAACCCUGCCUGAAACCUUGGGGAGCUGCUGUCAGUCAGUACUGAGACAGUAUUGAGCAAGCUGGACCAGUGGUCUAACUCAGCAUAAGGCAGUUUCUUAUGUUCCUAAGAUUCUUUUGGAGCCUGAUGCAAUGGCUUUUGUUUGGACACAGGAAGGAGGGAGGAUCUGGGCUGUUCACUUUUGAACAUUACAAAUCGGAGCCUGCUGGGAACCACAAUCUGAUGUGCGUCUACUAGUAGAGAGAUCCACUGCACAGAAGAUUGGCACCCUUGCUGUCCAUGGGAGACUUUGCCAUCUGCAGUGAAUAAGGUCUCUAGAAUUUAAAAAUCUCAAUGUAUUUUUUUAAAGAUUUUUUUUUAAAGCUUGCUUCUUUUUGAGAGAGAGAGAGAGAGAGAGAGAGAGAGAGAGAGAGUACUCAACAGAAAUAAACAGGCUCAACCACUUUUGUGAAGCAACAGAAGACCUUGGCAACUACUUGAUUACCUAGCAACUCUUAUAGAGCAAAAUAGCCCCCAGGGUGGAGGUGGGGAGAAUUUGCAUGGUUUCAGGGCUUGAAAACACUGAAGCGAGAAUUCUUCGGAAAAGAUUGUUUUGUUUUGAUUCUCAUCAUUGCUGGGCAUCAUCUGGCAAUACAAGCAUACAUCAAAAGAGAUCUCAGUUGUAGUUUCCUUUCCCUGUUUGCUAGUAAUGGUGAUGCACUGGCAAUGGCAUCAUAAUCAAUCAGUUUGAUUGAGGGGUUUUUUUUAAAACCCACCACAGGAGGAUAGGGUUUCCUUGAUGUCACUGCUUUGAGUUCCAGGAUCUGUGCUAAUGGAUGGCACCUCGACUAGGGUAGCCAAGUGCCCUAAUUUACAUGGAACAGUCCUCUACUUAGAGGCACUGUCUGGACAAAAUCUGGUUUAAAGAUUUUUAAAAAGUAAGAGAUGUCCCUCAAGGAUUAGCAGCUGAGCAAAAGCAAAUGGCUCACCUGCUCUCACUAUUGGUGUGAUCAACUUAAUUAGAACCACAAUGCCAAUGGGUCCAGUCGUGGCCGACUCUGGGGUUGCGGUGCUCAUCUCGCUUUAUUGGCCGAGGGAGCCGGCGUACAGCUUCCGGUUCAUGUGGCCAGCAUGACUAAGCCGCUUCUGGCAAACCAGAGCAGCGCACGGAAACACCGUUUAUCUUCCUGCCGGAGCGGUACCUAUUUAUCUACUUGCACUUUGACGUGCUUUCGAACUGCUAGGUUGGCAGGAGCAGGGACUGAGCAACAGGAGCUCACCCGGUCGCGGGGAUUCAAAACCGCUGACCUUCUGAUUGGCAAGUCCUAGGCUCUGUGGUUUAACCCACAGCGCCACCCGCGUCCCACACAAUGCCAGUAGUUGUUUCUAAAUCUGCACCUCUGCAUAUAUACUUAGCCCCAUUCCAGAUGCAACUGCCAUCAGCCCCAGUCAGCAUAGCCAAUGGUCAAGGAAUUAUGGGAGUUGUAGUCCAGCAAUAUCCGGAGGGUCACAUGUUGCCCAUCCCUGGAGUAGACAAUACGGAGCUGGAUGGAGCAAUGGUCUGACUCUGUAUAAGGAAAUUUCCUAUGAUCCAGUAUUUGUCCCCUUGAACUACAGUGGUACCUCGGGUUAAGUACUUAAUCCGUUCUGGAGGUCUGUUCUUAACCUGAAACUGUUCUUAACCUGAAGACCACUUUAGCUAAUGGGGCCUCCUGCUGCCGCUGCGCCGCCAAUGUGCAAGUUCUGUUCUCAUCCUGAAGCAAAGUUCUUAACCUCAAGCACUAUUUCUGGGUUUGCGGAGUCUCUAACCUGAAGCGUAUGUAACCUGAAGUGUAUGUAACCCAAGGUACCACUGUAUACUGAUUGGUAGUGACUACAGGGUUUCAGACUGGGGACCUUCCCAAGCAUAUUUGGAAGUGCCGGGGAUUGAACCUGGGACCUUCUGCAUACAAAGCAGAUGCUCUUUCAUUGUGCUACAGCUUUAUAUUGUGUUGAUCCAUUGCAUUCUCAGGACUUAGGUUUAUCAAGCUUCUGGAAUAUAUUAGGAACAAAGGUGCGUUCCCACUAAUAAAUCAAAGAGUAAGAGAAGAUGGGGCAUGCAAUUAAACAGUUUUUGGACGCAUGCACUGUCAGGGCAGAGAUGAAGACGUAUCUGAUUUUGCAUUUACAUCGUUUGAUUGCUUUGUGACACUAUACUGCUCCUAUGCAUCCAAGCUAUCUCCAUAAUCGGGGGGGGGGGGAUUUUCCUCACUGUAAAAGCUGCCAACUGUAUUAAGAGGGCUAUAACUUCUCUGCAACACUUUCCCCCCCCUAGUCCAGCCAGCAUAACGAGGCCAUAUUUCAGGACUUCACAUUCUCUCGAUGCCUUCAUGAUGGUUGGAAAUCUCAAUUUAUAUGGAUGAUCUCCCGCUUCCAUCCACCCACCCACCCGUUAUGGUGAAAGUCUCCAAAGUAAGAUAUUAAACUCCGAUGUUAGCACUUUCUUUCGUGAGUUCCUGCACAAAGAUUGAUUGAGAUUUUGACGGAUAGGCUACAAUGCUCAACUUGGCUCCAAGGAAAGAAAUGUGAUUUCGAGAUGGGCAGCAAAGGGGAGCUAAAGGAAGCUGACAGCACUUCUCCUGCAUGAAGAAUGUAAGAAGAGACCUCCCGGAUCAGGCCAGGGGCCCAUUGAGUCCAGCAUCCGCUUCUCCCCUUGGCCAACCAGAUGCCUAAGGGAAACUCCAAAGCAAGACCUGAGAUCAACAGUGCUCUGCCCAGCUGUGAUUCCCAGCAACUUGUACUCAGAGGUGUAUAGAAUUUCCCCUUCAGGGUUAGUAGCCAUCGAUAGCCUCUCCUCCAUUAAUUUGUCCGGUUCUCUUUUGAAGUCACCCACGCUGGUGGUUGUCAGGCUUCAGGGAAUUCGAUCGCUCCCACAGUGAGCAGCCAAGAAGCAGAUAACAAGAAGAGCUCUUACCAAGUCCUUUUUUCAGUAUUCAGAGAGGCUUUGAAAAGCGUCUAUCCAUUUCAGUAAAGUCCCACCCCAUCCAUCUCUCCUAUUGCACAUCAUCCCUGCGCCAGCUGAUCUGUGCUUUCUGCCUCUGAGCUUUCUGUUCUACUAUUCUCAAUGCAUGCCAGGUCCUAGGAGAAGGGUGUCAGGAAUGCUUUCUAAUGAUAACGUGUCAGCCAGCUGCUCCGGCUUUGCUGCUCCCCCCUCCUCUUCCAUUAUCUCCAAGCUUUCCCCCCUCUUCUGUCUCAGAGUCAGGACCUUCUGCAAACCACAAUUGUAAAUCUAUACUGCCUUUCUCUUCUCAGAAAGGUUCAGGAGAAGGAGAGGGGGCGGUCUCCACCAUUCUUCCUCCGAUGUCCAGCCGCUGACAAUAGUUACCACUGCCUCUUGUGGAAUGAAUUCCAUAGCUAGAUAGAUAAACUUUAUUCACAUUAGCCAACGGCCAUAGCAACAUAAAACAAGCAAUAUAUACAAUUAAAAAGACAACAAUGGGUAAAAAGGACAAUCAAAUGACCAAGAUUAUCGUUCCAUAGUUUAAAUUUGCACUGUGUGAAUAAGUACUUUUAUGCUCUACGUCUCUUUUCUGAAUUAAGGUCUAUAUUGGGGAGGGACCACAACGUCAUGGGGAAUGCACAUGUCUUGAAUGCAGAAGGUCUUAGGUUCAAUCCCUGGCAUCCCUUCACGAAGGGGAGUGGAAGAAAGUUCCAUUGCUCAAGCGUAAAUCCUUGCACUAAUGGAACAAGUUACUUAAUGCUACAUUGGAUGCAACCCAAGAAUUCUGUCUUUGCAUGGGCAGGGGUGAAGCCAGCCUUCUCACAAAGUGCUACUGAAAUAUACUCAGAGUCGCAACGUGAUUUCAUGCUCUUUAUUCAGCUCAUAGUGGUGAGGAGGAAUGAAUGAAAGUCCCCUCAAAGUAUCUGCUUUAUAUACAUUAUUUACACAAUGGGCUGCACAUGAUUGGCUAAUUCUGGAAUUCUACUGUAAGCUAAUCAGGUUGUGGAUUCACUUAUAUCUGGAGCAUGAUUGGGUGGUUCCUGCCAACCAAUCAUACUGCUGCAUUGUUCUAGGACCAAUCAGACUGCUGCAUUCUGGAUCCUUUUGUUCUAGGACCAAUCAGACUGCUGCAAUUUGGAUCCUAUUGUUCUAGGACCAAUCAGACUGCUGCAGUUUGGAUCCUAUUCAACUCAGUACAUAACAGCUACCCUCCAGAUGCAUUUGGAUUUCAACUCCUUAUCAGCCUCGGCCAACAUGACAUGAUCAGGGUUGGUGGAAGUUGCAGUGAGAGAACAUUCAGAAGGCAUAAAUGUGGGUAGGGGAGGUCGGUUUCAUCCCAUAACCAGGUACAAAAAUAAUGACAAGAUGGGUCUGCUAUGAGUAGGACCAGCAUUCAGAUGUACCCCAAAAUGUCUGGGGCUCUGUAUAAAGAAAAUGCCAGGAGAGUUGCUUGGAGUCUGCUAGGCACUUAAGGAGGAGACGGCACAUUUUCCAUCUGCUGGAGGCAGCGAACCAAGUGAGUAUUCAGUGUCUCACCAGGCAGAUUCAGAAUUCUAAACUGUUUACGCUUCUAUAUACUUUCAUUCCAGUUUGUGUACAUUUUACAUAUCUUCACUUGUGUUGAUACAAAAUUAGAGAUCAAUUUUUAAAGGAGAGUGCUGUGUUUUUGGCAGAUUUUGUGCUACUCGUUUAUUUAUUAAAGUUCUACCCCGUCCUUCCUCCCAGAGGAGCCCAGGCAAACAACCAAACAGCCAAAAACAACAACACAAAAACAAGACAGAAAUGUUUUUUCAUUAUAAAAAAAAAAAUUUUAAAACAAUCAAAUAUCCUCCUGGCUAAAUAAUUUCACGGUUGUCAGGAACAGUAUCUUUCAUCCCUGAAAUACCGGGGGUGCGUAUUAAAAUUCUGCUGAAAUGUUAAUAAUGAAGGAGACAGAUGCACCUUACCAGGGAGGGCAUUCCAUAAAUGGGGAAACAAUACUACUACUACUACUACUACUACUACUACUACUACUACUACUACUACUACUAAUGUUAUUAUUUGUACCCCACUGUGCUGGGUUGUGAAUGCUCUCCGCAAGAAACGCCUCUGCUCACUCAGAGAUACAUAUAUACAUCCUUUAUUUUACAUAUGUACAAGCAGCACACAUAAUCAUGCGUCCGAAUCCUCUGGGUCAGAUUCUCGGAGUGACUUACAUCCGCCCCUUUUCCAGCAGAAGAGGCGAGGCAUUCUCAUUUGAUGUCUCUGCCCCCUCCUCUUUAACACUCUCCUUUCCUGAGCAGAUGGAACCGGCACUGCUUCGCUGUCCGUGCCAGAGCUUCCUGUGCGGUGUUGAGGCUCUGCUCCAACAUCUGAGAGCCUUCCCUCCUCCUGAGUUUCCCUCCUUUCCUCCACUGGCACUUCCUGCCCCCCUUCCUCUACCUGUCUCUCCUCCUCCCCUACGUUCUCCAUCAAUACCAUGACACCCACCCAUCUGACUGGGUUGCCCAAGCCACCCUGGGUGGAUCAGCUGGAACCACCAAGAAGGCCUCUUCUUCCAAUCAUAGUCUGAGAUGGUUGAUCCUGGGGGAGAUGCUCUUUGAGGUAAUUGGGUGCUAAGCAAUUUAGGGCUUUGUGCACUAGCAUUAACACCCUGGAUUGGACCCCGGAGUUGGCAUCCAGGACAAUGCUUCAGGAUCAGUGACACAUAGCUCCAUUGAACUGCCACAACUUACUAACCUAGCAGCUGAGUUCUGCCCCAGCCGCAGUUUCCAGAACAUUGUCAACCUGAGCUGGGCAUAAACACUCCUGGACACAGAGGCCGUUUGUGUCCCUAGUGAUAGGCUGGAAUACAGAAUCAGGUUGGCAUUUCUGCUUCUAUAUAAUUUCUGCAUUUUUCUAUGUUACUUUUAUAACAGAUAUUUAUUUGAUUUUUAUGCUGCCUUUCUGCCCCAAGACGAUUCCCAGGGCAGUUCUGACACCUUCCCAGGCAUGCUUGGUGGAGACACAGGAGAGGGCCUUCUCAGUGGCUGCUCCCAAACUCUGGAAGUCCCUCCCUAGAGAAGCCAGACUGGCUCCCUCCUUCUUGUCCUUUCGCCAGCAGGUGAAGACUUUCUUUUUCCAACAGGCUUUGGGGAGCUGACUGCUUUUAAUGAAAGGACCAGUGCCUUGCUGCUUUUGUUGUAAUUAUUGGUAUAGUGUUAAUAGAUGUUAAUAUGCAUGCAUAGUUUUAAUUCUAUCAGUGUUUAAUUAAUUCUUAGUUAUUGUUCUUUCCUAUGUUUUUAGCAGUUCUUAAGACUCCCUGGAAAAGACCCUGAUGCUGGGAAAGAUUGAGGGCACAAGGAGACGACAGAGGACGAGAUGGUUGGACAGUGUUCUCGAAGCUACCAACAUGAGUUUGACCAAACUGCGGGAGGCAGUGGAAGACAGGAGUGCCUGGCGUGCUCUGGUCCAUGGGGUCAUGAAGAGUCGGACACGACUAAACGACUAAACAACGACAACAACUUUUAUCUGUAAACUGCUUAGAGUUCCAUCUACAAUAGUGUCUUAUCUAUUUUAUAGUACAGUACAUUGAUUAUUGCUUUCAUUUUAUGGAUCAAUGGUCUGGUUAGAUAGUAAAAUUCAUGUGAAAUUGCUGUUUUAGGGGUUGUUUUUAAAAGUCUGGAACGGAUUAAUUUAUUUUGCAUUACUUUCUAUGGGAAAGUUCACCUUGGUUUCGGAACGCUUUGGAUUUGGAACUGACUUCUGGAACAGAUUAAGUCUGAGAACCAAGGUACCACUGUACCAGUUGCUGGAAACCACGGCAGGGGAGAGAGCUCUUGUGCUCAGGUCCUGCUUGCAGGCUUUCCACAGGCAUCUCACACCCCACAAGUGUCCUGGGAAGACCAGGACAUAUUGUUUUUUUCCUGCAAGACUUCGUCCCCAAAUAAGUGUGUUUUUUGGGCUCUGUUGUCCUGUGCAGGCAGGUCAUAUGACUAGUGCGGGAGCAUGGAUGGGAAGACACGUGUUCUGGUUUGGGGGCUCAACAUGUUGGAGGGUAUGGCAUCUUGGUUGGCCACAGUGAGAACUGGAUGCUGGACUAGAUGGGCCAUUGGCCUGGUCCAGCAGGUCCUUCUUAUGUUCUCAGUUAGGUCCUUGGUUCUCCACCAUCCCCAGGACCUUUCAAGGAUGGAAGAGUAACUGCAUUACUCCUCCUUGUUUUUAGUUUCCUCGUUCUCGGGCAAAUGAAUUAGCUUCCAGUUCACUUGCUUCUGCUUACACACCAGACUACAUGCAAAGGAUGCCAGUUUCAUUUCAUUGCCUGAUUUUGUGUGUGUAAUACACACAAAACACAAGUGCUUUAGUGUAGUGCUACCUCCCUAAAGCUCAGAGAAAAGGAGAGGGAGGGUGUAGUUAUUUCUCCUAGUGCUUUAUCAAGUGAGAAAAGCCUUAAGAAGAGAUUUAAGUAGCAUCAAAGACAUUUCCAGGAGAUAUUGGCUGAAGGAUUCACUUGUAUCUCACGUCUAGAUCUGGUAAGAAGAUCUGUCAACAGCUCUCCCGCUUUACCGUACUGUGCAGCACUGAAGGGCCCUAUCGAUUCAUUUUGUUAAUCUUAUAUUUAAGGCACAGGCUUGCUUGAGUAGCUACAUCAAUGGAGUCAAACAAGACCAGGCUCUUGAGUUAUGUGCUAUCGAAUGUCCAAAGUAAAGUGUAUACAAUUUAUAGGUUUUCCCAAAACAAAAUAUCGUAACAGACACUGCAGUUGGACAGCCCGGACUUGUGUCAAUAGACAGCUAUUUGUCACCUGCCAGGAACUGAGAAGAUCACCAGAUGAGACACGUCCUCUGGGUGAAGGCAGCUGAUAGUUUGAUCCAAAGUGCCAGCCCCAGAGAUGUGCCAAAACAUGUCUGGAGCAUAAAAUGCCCAUUCCGGUGAUGGUGAUGAAGACUCCAAAACAAACCAACAAAAAAUAAGAUUUCAGAAUGGCCAAUGAUAUGAUGACAGAACUUGGCUUCAGCAGCAGAGAUGAAUUCUGGGAUUUGAUGUAGUAGCCAUAGGAACCAGAGACUACUGAGGGACCCAGCUGGGCCUACAAUUGCCGGGAUCUAAGUCUUCAAGAUGACAGAAAAUCAUGCAAGCUCCUGGAAGUAAGAUCAAUUGGAAAAGGACAUGGAAGGUAGUCAAGAGUUAUGGAUGAACAACACCUUUGAUGGAGCCUGGACCCAACAGCUGUGGGAAGUCUGGCUUGAGUUGGCUUGGAAGAAUGAAGCUAAACUGCCUGGGACGAGCGAGUGAGGAUAGCCCUAUUCCAGUGUUAGGUCUAGCCAUGUUUGAAGAACACAUGGAGAGGGUGCCCCACCUGCUGUCCACAUCUAACCUUGACAUGUUAAGUUUGAAGGUCCAAAAGGAGACUCUAGAAUCCUCCCAGUUGCAAACAGAGUUCCAUUUCAUGGGAGGUAUUCUAAGCACAUCCAGCUCCCUUCAGACCAUCAGUCUGGAAGUGGACUUGGCAGGGUUGGGGGUGUUGGGGGGCAGGAAGGGCACACAUGGCACAGCUCCCUUCUAUGUGUUCGUCAAACAUGAUUAGACCAAACAUCUGACUAGGGCUACCCUCACUCACACUGUAGGAUCAUAUAAUUGUAGAGUUGGAAGGGAUCCCAACAAUCAUCUAGUCCCAAGUCUCUGCAGUGCUGGAAUCAUCCCUACAUCCAUUGUGUGCUUAAUGGCACAUUCUUCUUCUUCUCUCGGUCCCUGUUUUUUUGACUUCCCAAUCCCAGCUAGGCAUCCGCUUGGCCACUGUGAGAAGAGGAUGCUGGAGGAGAUGUACCACCGGCCUGAACCACCAGGCUCUUCUGGUGUUUUUAUACAACCCCUCCCCAAAUGCAGUACUGGACCCGGGUGGCGCUGUGGGUUAAACCACAGAGCCUAGGGCUUGCCAAUCAGGUCAGAGGUUCGAAUCCCUGCAACGGGGUGCGCUCCCAUUGCUCGGUCCCUGCUCCUGCCAACCUAGCAGUUUGAAAGCACGUCAAAGUGCAAGUAGAUAAAUAGGUACCGCUCCGGCGGGAAGGUAAAUGGCGUUUCCGUGCGCUGCUCUGGUUCGCCAGAAGCGGCUUAGUCAUGCUGGCCACAUGACCCGGAAGCUGUACGCUGGCUCCCUUGGCCAAUAAAGCGAGAUGAGUGCCGCAACCCCAGAG